GACAAAAAAAACACUCAGACGACCAACGAAAUGAAAUGAAGCAAGAGCAGAGGGAAGAGGAUGUUUUUCCAAGGGUUGUUGACCCCCCUUUGACGCUUAUGGUUUUCUCGUUCUGCGCCCCUUUCCCCUAAUUUCUCAACAACCCUUUUUAUUCUAUCUAUACGACUAUACUAGUAUACUCCGUAUUAUAUUAUAUGGGUCGAAAUAUUUAUUUAUUUUAUUGAACGGCAAAUCUAUUCUUCUACUACUACUACUCGGGCCAUAGUAUUUGUCACAGGACGAUUUAUGUAAUUUUCUCUUUGUCCCAAGGGAGUGAUAUAUUUACCACAAUUAUUAGCUAUUAACAACAAUGCAUACAUUAUAUAGUUGUACACUCUACUGUAUAAUUUUGAUAACAGGCAAGACAGGGGCAGUGAUGAUAAAUGUGUCUCUAUAUGUUGGUCGUUUGAGUGUUUGGGGGGUCAAACAUUGAGAUUUAGCCGUAUCUUGGCGGGGCAUCCAUUUGCAGCCAUGGCGGUUUUAUCCUUGUUUUUGUACCCACUGUUUUUACAGAUCUGAGCCCCCUCAUUAUUAUUUUUAUUAAAAUGGAGGACAGGCACAAUCCAGAGAGCAGUUGAGCGAAGGGAUGUUUGUGUGGUUGCCCCCUCGGGCCUGUUAUGAGCAUAUAUUUUUUACUUGCUGAAUGGAUGAUCACAAAACAUUAUAAUAGGAGACGUGAUGAUAAGUUUCUACUUGUUUCAGUUUUACUAAAAUUUAAUUUCUUCAAAGACAUGAUUCUUUUUUUUUCUUUUUCUUUUUUUCACCUGUAUUUCAAUGUAGUAUGCAUUACAAUACACGUUGUUGUCUGUUGGCAUUUCCUGUUGGCUACUUUUUGAUCGUUAGGAAUUGCCCUCUUUAUUGCCCGGUCAUGACGAUUAAUUUUUACAUCUGUGGGUUAACCAGGCAAAAGAUGAUAAUGAUCCCAUCUUGGGGAGACAAUUUGGGUGGUCUUUUAUUUGUUUCUCUUUUUCGGAUUUCCAAGACUUGGACAUUGUUUAAAUGGAAGGCUUCUUGAUCUUUUGUAGAGUAUGUAACUUUUGAUGUAGCCACCUCAAGGAUAAACAAUUGGAUAUGUGGGGUUUUUUUUUUGUUUUUUUUUUAAUAAUAUUGAAUUUUUACCAUGUAUUCCUCCUUUAA